ensembl:snoRNA
AUCCUUUUGUGGUUCAUUAGCAUGGAGAAUUGGUCUUCAUGCUCAUGUGUGAGAUGUGCCCUCCUCAAACCUGGUUACAUCACAUUACCUGUCUGAUG